AUAAAAUCUGAAAGGUUUUGAGAUUUGUGUUUAUUUUAUGCCCAUAUGCUCUGAAGUUGCUGGUGUUUCAAGAAUGUGGCAUCCCAGUCCACACCAAGAAACAAGGGAUGAGCAGAAUUCCUUGCCUUGUAACAGGGCUAGGCUACAGGAGGAGCUGAACCCUAAAGUGCUAUUUUUUUAGCAGAGGUUUGAUCAAUGACUGUUGUUGACCCCUGUUGCGAGUGCACCCCUGCAACUACAGGUGUAAAGUUCAGUUUUUUUUGUUUACUUAACUAGGAUUCUUACUUAUAAUUGUGAAUCUGUGCAUGCCAUGCCAAUCUGUAAUGUUCACAAGCUUCCUGUCCAUAUCACACGUUUGGAUAAAAAGUCGGAAUGAAUACUGUCUUGACAUACUCAUUAAGUCAGUCUGAAUUUGGCCAUUUACAUGGUAAUGAGCAAUGCCCUAGAAUGGCACCUAACUUAGAUUGGACAUAAAAGAUCUUUGAAUUAGUGGUGAUUUUGUCUACCAUGCUGCCAGCGAAUAGUCGUAAGUUGUUACCAUAUUCAAAAGUGUCAUUGUAUAUGCAAUUUUGCAUCUUUUUUAUAACAAGAAGGCAGGGAGCCCCAUAGAAAUAUUUAAUACAGCAAAGUUAAAUACUCUCAGUUCUAGCUCGCUGUAGACCUGGAUUAUCCAGCUACCUGAAUUAUCAAACUCCAAAAGUCCAACACUCUGUGUUCCAAGUAACAUUUGCCAUAUAGAAGAUCAUGUGAGAGGGCUGGGGUGGCUGCUACUUUCCUUGGAAUGAUAUCAAGCAAGAUCAAAUAUCUCCAUGGAAGAUAUCAUCUGAUUUUUUUUUAUCGAUCAAACAAUUCGACCUUUCGGCACUUCUGUGGCAAUACUUGUUUUAUUUGGUUAGCAACCUAAAAAAUACUUUCCAAUGGCCCUGAAUUUAUGGCUUAUGUAUCCAUUGAUAGGUUCAUGCAUGUUGAAUAUACAGUUAUGUUUUCGCAAAAAAAAAGAAUAUACAGUUAUGUCUUCUGUUCUGCUCCCUCCGUCCCAAAAUAAGUGUCUCAACUUUGUACUAACUUUAGUGUAAAGUUGUACUAAGGUUGAGACACUUAUUUCGGGAUGGAGGGAGUAUUUAACUGUUGGCGUCACUAACUUGCUCUAAAAUUAGUCACUUUAUCUUUGUAGCUCCACAGCUGAUUGUUUGCAAGAUGGACCUGAGAUUUUUACCUUUAGUAAGCAACUAAGUCCGCGCAAUAUUCCCAACCGGGCUUUACAAUUGAUGCAAUCGACUUCUCUACUUCAAUAUGAGAGAAAAGAAGAAAGAAAUAAAAGAUGUUUUGCAUCUAGUUUACCCAGGUGAAUAACAUGCGUCAAUGAAGAAGUUCAAGCUCAAGGAGAGUAAGUUUAAGAUGAAAGCCGCUUUCGAGGAGCACGGUUGAAUUUGGGAGCGAUAAAUUUUAAAAACUUACUGAACAUCCGAUUCUUUUAUUAGGAUUUAAAUGUAUGGUUGAAUUGCUACCUAUUGUUGAUUCAAUUGAGGCGGCAUGACAGACAUUUGGUUUA